GAGUAACUAGGAUACUAAAGGAGUCUAGUUUCUGGUGCGAUUUGCAAUUUUGUGUAAGAAUGUUGAAACCGUUGGUGGAUGUUGUUCGGAUAAUGUAUUUGGACGAAGAGCCUUCAAUGGGAAAUAUCUACCAUGCAAUGGAUAAGAUGCGAAAGAAGAUUUUAUGUCUUCUAUUAGGUGAGCCGAAGCACAGUGCAAGUUUGAAUAGAGUGUUGAAGAUUGUUGAUACUCAUCGGAUGGAUCAACUACGUCAACCUUUAUAUGCAGCUGGCUAUUAUCUCAAUCCUAGCAUUUACUUUACUAUUCAAUCUGAACAUGAAAAGAGUUUGGAAGGCAAUGCUGAUAUUAAAAGAGGUUUAAUGGAUUCUAUAAACAUGCUUUAUCCAGAUGAAGUGAAGCAAGAUAAGAUUAUUGAUCAAUUGGUGGUUUAUCGAUCAGCUGAAGGCAUGAUGGGUGACCCAGCAGCGGUAAGGAAACGGGAAACAACCUCCCCAUCUGAGUGGUGGGUUACUUGGGGAUCUGAAGUGCCAGAACUUCAAGAGUUUGCGAGAAAGGUGCUCGGUCUUACUUGUUCCGCAUCUCCGUACGAAACAAAUUGGAGUGCCUUUAAUAGUUUGCAUUCGAAGAAAAGGAACAAGCUAGAGCAUCAAAAGUUGAAUGACCUUGUCUUUGUUACGUACAACACUAAACUUAGAACUCGUUACUUGGACCGAACUAGCUUGGUGAGAAAAUAUACAGAGCCUAUUGUUUUGGAAGAUACGGAGGAAGCAUGUGCAGAGUGGCUUGUACCUUUCGGUGCAAACGAUAAGCAUUUAUGUGGUGAGGAUGAUAUUACUUUGGGGGAUGUUGAAGAAGCGAAAGGAAAUGAAGAAUCUGGGGGUCAAACAACUACGAUAUUGUAUAAGAAGAGAGUCUUAGGAAACAUGAGUACGGGUACGAGUAAAAUCAAAAAGAGAUAAAGGAACCAAUCUACUUGAUCGCAAAAGUUGGCACAGGAGGAAAAGUAAGUUAGCUCAUGCCUACUUAGCAGAAGUGUAUAUUAUUAAUGUGAAGUUGCUGGAGAACACUGGUCUGCAGCUAUCAUUCUGAAACCAUUGAUCAUGUAUUGUAAGCGGCCGAGGAACCUAAAUUGUGAUUUUUACAUCUCCCCUGAAGUUUCGGCUCAGCCAUAUAGAUAACUCUAAUCUUGCUCGUUAUAUUCUGAGCUAGCAUCAUAUAAACAUCAGCUCCUUGGGAUUCUAUCAUGGGCGCAUGCAUUGUAUGGAGUAUUUCAAAGGCUCGAUACAAGAUAAAAUUGAAUCACCGAAAGUUGCUGGAUGGAAUGCCAAAAAGUUGUGGAAUUCCACCUAAAAAAUGGAGAACAGCAGGCAACUCUAUUAUUGAACUAGAAAACAGUGAAGUUGAUGUUAGAAUAAGGAAUAAUGGGACAUAUAAGCGAACAAGGAGGUUGUUCCCAGGGUAUAGAGUUAUGAGGAGCUGCAGAGACGGUUGAAAUCCUAUC